rnacentral:rRNA from 1 species
AUUGAACGCUGGCGGCAUGCCUUACACAUGCAAGUCGAACGGUAACAGGUUAAGCUGACGAGUGGCGAACGGGUGAGUAAUGUAUCGGAACGUGCCCAGUCGUGGGGGAUAACUGCUCGAAAGAGCAGCUAAUACCGCAUACGACCUGAGGGUGAAAGCGGGGGAUCGCAAGACCUCGCGCGAUUGGAGCGGCCGAUAUCAGAUUAGGUAGUUGGUGAGGUAAAGGCUCACCAAGCCGACGAUCUGUAGCUGGUCUGAGAGGACGACCAGCCACACUGGGACUGAGACACGGCCCAGACUCCUACGGGAGGCAGCAGUGGGGAAUUUUGGACAAUGGGCGUAAGCCUGAUCCAGCCAUGCCGCGUGCGGGAAGAAGGCCUUCGGGUUGUAAACCGCUUUUGUCAGGGAAGAAAAGGUUCUGGCUAAUACCUGGGACUCAUGACGGUACCUGAAGAAUAAGCACCGGCUAACUACGUG